AAAAAGGGUCGGUUGGCUAAAUAUGCCACACUAGCCCUUGCCGGUUAGUGCUAUAUGGUUAUCAAGACAUAUGGCGGACAUAAUUUGUGGAAACUUAAUAGGGUUGGCUUGCUUGGACAACCCUCUUUU